rnacentral:rRNA from 1 species
UACAGAGGUCCCAAGCGUUGUUCGGAUUCACUGGGCGUAAAGGGUGCGUAGGUGGUGAGGUAAGUUUGAUGUGAAAGCUCCGAGCUCAACUCGGAAAUGGCAUUGAAUACUACCUCGCUAGAGGAUUGGAGGGGGGACUGGAAUUCUCGGUGUAGCAGUGAAAUGCGUAGAUAUCAAGAGGAACACCUGAGGUGAAGACGGGUUGCUGGGCCGACACUGACGCUGAGUGCGCGAAAGCCAGGGGAGCAAACGGG